AAAGAGGAAGCUGGCGGCGUGCCUAAUACAUGCAAGUCGAGCGGACAGAAGGGAGCUUGCUCCCGGAUGUUAGCGGCGGACGGGUGAGUAACACGUGGGUAACCUGCCUGUAAGACUGGGAUAACUCCGGGAAACCGGAGCUAAUACCGGAUAGUUCCUUGAACCGCAUGGUUCAAGGAUGAAAGACGGUUUCGGCUGUCACUUACAGAUGGACCCGCGGCGCAUUAGCUAGUUGGUGGGGUAAUGGCUCACCAAGGCGACGAUGCGUAGCCGACCUGAGAGGGUGAUCGGCCACACUGGGACUGAGACACGGCCCAGACUCCUACGGGAGGCAGCAGUAGGGAAUCUUCCGCAAUGGACGAAAGUCUGACGGAGCAACGCCGCGUGAGUGAUGAAGGUUUUCGGAUCGUAAAGCUCUGUUGUUAGGGAAGAACAAGUGCGAGAGUAACUGCUCGCACCUUGACGGUACCUAACCAGAAAGCCACGGCUAACUACGUGCCAGCAGCCGCGGUAAUACGUAGGUGGCAAGCGUUGUCCGGAAUUAUUGGGCGUAAAGGGCUCGCAGGCGGUUUCUUAAGUCUGAUGUGAAAGCCCCCGGCUCAACCGGGGAGGGUCAUUGGAAACUGGGAAACUUGAGUGCAGAAGAGGAGAGUGGAAUUCCACGUGUAGCGGUGAAAUGCGUAGAGAUGUGGAGGAACACCAGUGGCGAAGGCGACUCUCUGGUCUGUAACUGACGCUGAGGAGCGAAAGCGUGGGGAGCGAACAGGAUUAUAUACCCUGGUAGUCCACGCCGUAAACGAUGAGUGCUAAGUGUUAGGGGGUUUCCGCCCCUUAUUGCUGCAGCUAACGCAUUAAGCACUCCGCCUGCGGAGUACGGUCGCAAGACUGAAACUCAAAGAAUUGACGGCGGCCGCACAGCCGGUGUAGCAUGUGGUUUAUUUCAAAGCAACGCGAAGAAAC
rnacentral:rRNA from 1 species